GACGAACGCUGGCGGCGCGCCUAACACAUGCAAGUCGAACGAGCGAGCGAGAGCUUGCUUUCUCGAGCGAGUGGCGAACGGGUGAGUAACGCGUGAGGAACCUGCCUCAAAGAGGGGGACAACAGUUGGAAACGACUGCUAAUACCGCAUAAGCCCACGGGUCGGCAUCGACCAGAGGGAAAAGGAGCAAUCCGCUUUGAGAUGGCCUCGCGUCCGAUUAGCUAGUUGGUGAGGUAACGGCCCACCAAGGCAACGAUCGGUAGCCGGACUGAGAGGUUGAACGGCCACAUUGGGACUGAGACACGGCCCAGACUCCUACGGGAGGCAGCAGUGGGGAAUAUUGCACAAUGGGGGAAACCCUGAUGCAGCGACGCCGCGUGGAGGAAGAAGGUCUUCGGAUUGUAAACUCCUGUUGUUGGGGAAGAUAAUGACGGUACCCAACAAGGAAGUGACGGCUAACUACGUG
rnacentral:rRNA from 1 species